CCUACGGGUGGCAGCAGUGAGGAAUAUUGGUCAAUGGACGAGAGUCUGAACCAGCCAAGUAGCGUGAAGGAUGACUGCCCUAUGGGUUGUAAACUUCUUUUAUAUGGGAAUAAAAUGUUCCACGUGUGGGAUUUUGUAUGUACCAUAUGAAUAAGGAUCGGCUAACUCCGUGCCAGCAGCCGCGGUAAUACGGAGGAUCCGAGCGUUAUCCGGCUUUAUUGGGGUUAAAGGGAGCGUAGGUGGAUUGUUAAGUCAGUUGUGAAAGUUUGCGGCGCAACCGUAAAAUUGCAGUUGAAACUGGCAGUCUUGAGUACAGUAGAGGUGGGCGGAAUUCGUGGUGUAGCGGUGAAAUGCUUAGAUAUCACGAAGAACUCCGAUUGCGAAGGCAGCUCACUGGACUGCAACUGACACUGAGGCUCGAAAGCGUGGGGAGCAAACAGGAUUAGAUACCCCAGUAGUC
rnacentral:rRNA from 1 species